UUAUGACCUUAGCAUAAAAAAAUUAACCCAACAGAAAUUAGCAACCACUUAAGACUGUCGUUCACCCUUAAGUCCGGUCGCCUGGCUGUGUUAUUCUGAGAAAACUCAAUCAAAAUAACAAUUAAAACCGAGCCUGGUUAAUUACCAACCUAUAAAUAACACGUUUAACUGCGGUUUUAACACCGAAACUAAACGUCACGCCUGCUUUGUGUUAUCUUUUUUCUGCGUUUUGCUUUUUUGAACCCGAGUACCAAAUUAAACAAAAGAAUAUAACGCGUACGAUCGUAAAAGUCAUUGUGAAUUAUUGUUUUUGAUGAUCGACAAGUUAUGGCCUAUCGGUUCGUUUUGAUCAAGGUAACAACACCAUCAUCAUCUAUUAUUUACUGUGCUUUAAUAUUGGAGCGACAUCUCUGAAGGCGCGUGAAAGGUAACCGAAUCUGCCCGAACCAUGGUCUGCCGAGUAUAUAAGGAGCACACGCGGCCGGGAACUAAUUUAAUUCGGAAUUAUGUUAAUUAGUUACUGUUAUAAAAUAAAAGAUAUUAUCUAUUGAUA